rnacentral:rRNA from 1 species
GACGAACGCUGGCGGCGUGCUUAACACAUGCAAGUCGAACGAGAAAGCCCUUCGGGGUAAGUACAGUGGCGAACGGGUGAGUAACACGUGGGCAACCUGCCCCAGAGAGCGGGACAACCCGGGGAAACCCGGGCUAAUACCGCAUGAUGCGUCUCCACUUAAGUGGAGCCGCCAAAUGGUAGCUUCGGCCUCCGCUCUGGGAUGGGCCCGCGCCGGAUUAGCUAGUUGGUUGGGGUAACGGCCCACCAAGGCGAAGAUCCGUAGCUGGUCUGGGAGGAAGAUCAGCCACACUGGGACUGAGACACGGCCCAGACUCCUACGGGAGGCAGCAGUGGGGAAUCUUGCGCAAUGGGCGAAAGCCUGACGCAGCAACGCCGCGUGGGGGAAGAAGGCCUUCGGGUUGUAAACCUCUUUCAGUAGGGACGAAGCUUCCGGGGUUAAUAGCCUACGGGGUGACGGUACCUACAGAAGAAGCCCCGGCUAACUACGUGCCAGCCGCCGCGGUAA